rnacentral:rRNA from 1 species
UAGAGAAUACCAAGGCGCUUGAGAGAACUCGGGUGAAGGAACUAGGCAAAAUGGUGCCGUAACUUCGGGAGAAGGCACGCUGAUAUGUAGGUGAAGCGACUUGCUCGUGGAGCUGAAAUCAGUCGAAGAUACCAGCUGGCUGCAACUGUUUAUUAAAAACACAGCACUGUGCAAACACGAAAGUGGACGUAUACGGUGUGACGCCUGCCCGGUGCCGGAAGGUUAAUUGAUGGGGUUAGCGGUAACGCGAAGCUCUUGAUCGAAGCCCCGGUAAACGGCGGCCGUAACUAUAACGGUCCUAAGGUAGCGAAAUUCCUUGUCGGGUAAGUUCCGACCUGCACGAAUGGCGUAAUGAUGGCCAGGCUGUCUCCACCCGAGACUCAGUGAAAUUGAACUCGCUGUGAAGAUGCAGUGUACCCGCGGCAAGACGGAAAGACCCCGUGAACCUUUACUAUAGCUUGACACUGAACAUUGAGCCUUGAUGUGUAGGAUAGGUGGGAGGCUUUGAAGUGUGGACGCCAGUCUGCAUGGAGCCGACCUUGAAAUACCACCCUUUAAUGUUUGAUGUUCUAACGUUGGCCCGUAAUCCGGGUUGCGGACAGUGUCUGGUGGGUAGUUUGACUGGGGCGGUCUCCUCCUAAAGAGUAACGGAGGAGCACGAAGGUUGGCUAAUCCUGGUCGGACAUCAGGAGGUUAGUGCAAUGGCAUAAGCCAGCUUGACUGCGAGCGUGACGGCGCGAGCAGGUGCGAAAGCAGGUCAUAGUGAUCCGGUGGUUCUGAAUGGAAGGGCCAUCGCUCAACGGAUAAAAGGUACUCCGGGGAUAACAGGCUGAUACCGCCCAAGAGUUCAUAUCGACGGCGGUGUUUGGCACCUCGAUGUCGGCUCAUCACAUCCUGGGGCUGAAGUAGGUCCCAAGGGUAUGGCUGUUCGCCAUUUAAAGUGGUACGCGAGCUGGGUUUAGAACGUCGUGAGACAGUUCGGUCCCUAUCUGCCGUGGGCGCUGGAGAACUGAGGGGGGCUGCUCCUAGUACGAGAGGACCGGAGUGGACGCAUCACUGGUGUUCGGGUUGUCAUGCCAAUGGCACUGCCCGGUAGCUAAAUGCGGAAGAGAUAAGUGCUGAAAGCAUCUAAGCACGAAACUUGCCCCGAGAUGAGUUCUCCCUGACUCCUUGAGGGUCCUGAAGGAACGUUGAAGACGACGACGUUGAUAGGCCGGGUGUGUAAGCGCAGCGAUGCGUUGAGCUAACCGGUACUAAUGAACCGUGAGGCUUAACCUU